rnacentral:rRNA from 1 species
GGCGGCAGGCCUAACACAUGCAAGUCGAGCGGUAGAGAGUAGCUUGCUAUUCUUGAGAGCGGCGGACGGGUGAGUAACGCGUAGGAAUCUACCUGGUAGAGGGGGAUAGCCCGGGGAAACUCGGAUUAAUACCGCAUACGCCCUUAGGGGGAAAGGAGGGGAUCUUUCGAGACCUUUCGCUAUCAGAUGAGCCUGCGUAGGAUUAGCUAGUUGGUGUGGUAAAGGCGCACCAAGGCGACGAUCCUUAGCUGGUCUGAGAGGAUGAUCAGCCACACUGGGACUGAGACACGGCCCAGACUCCUACGGGAGGCAGCAGUGGGGAAUAUUGGACAAUGGGGGCAACCCUGAUCCAGCCAUGCCGCGUGUGUGAAGAAGGCCUUCGGGUUGUAAGGCACUUUCAGUGGUGAGGAAGGGUGUGAAGUUAAUACCUUCAUACAUUGACGUUAGCCACAGAAGAAGCACCGGCUAACUCCGUGCCAGCAGCCGCGGUAAUACGAAGGGGGCUAGCGUUGUUCGGAAUCACUGGGCGUAAAGCGCACGUAGGCGGGUUUGUAAGUUAGGGGUGAAAUCCCGGGGCUCAACCUCGGAACUGCCCUUGAUACUGCAAGCCUAGAGUCCGAGAGAGGUGAGUGGAAUUCCUAGUGUAGAGGUGAAAUUCGUAGAUAUUAGGAAGAACACCAGUGGCGAAGGCGGCUCACUGGGCUCGGUACUGACGCUGA